rnacentral:rRNA from 1 species
GACGAACGCUGGCGGCGUGCCUAAUACAUGCAAGUCGAACGCUUCUUUUUCCACCGGAGCUUGCUCCACCGGAAAAAGAAGAGUGGCGAACGGGUGAGUAACACGUGGGUAACCUGCCCAUCAGAAGGGGAUAACACUUGGAAACAGGUGCUAAUACCGCAUAACAGUUUAUGCCGCAUGGCAUAAGAGUGAAAGGCGCUUUCGGGUGUCGCUGAUGGAUGGACCCGCGGUGCAUUAGCUAGUUGGUGAGGUAACGGCUCACCAAGGCCACGAUGCAUAGCCGACCUGAGAGGGUGAUCGGCCACACUGGGACUGAGACACGGCCCAG